rnacentral:rRNA from 1 species
UGGGGGAUAGCCCGGCGAAAGCCGGAUUAAUACCGCAUACGCUCUACGGAGGAAAGGGGGGGAUCUCAGGACCUCCCGCUACAGGGGCGGCCGAUGGCAGAUUAGCUAGUUGGUGGGGUAAAGGCCUACCAAGGCGACGAUCUGUAGCUGGUCUGAGAGGACGACCAGCCACACUGGGACUGAGACACGGCCCAGACUCCUACGGGAGGCAGCAGUGGGGAAUUUUGGACAAUGGGCGAAAGCCUGAUCCAGCAAUGCCGCGUGUGUGAAGAAGGCCUUCGGGUUGUAAAGCACUUUUGUCCGGAAAGAAAACCUUCCGCCCUAAUAUGGUGGGGGGAUGACGGUACCGGAAGAAUAAGCACCGGCUAACUACGUGCCAGCAGCCGCGGUAAUACGUAGGGUGCAAGCGUUAAUCGGAAUUACUGGGCGUAAAGCGUGCGCAGGCGGUCCGCUAAGACAGAUGUGAAAUCCCCGGGCUUAACCUGGGAACUGCAUUUGUGACUGGCGGGCUAGAGUAUGGCAGAGGGGGGUAGAAUUCCACGUGUAGCAGUGAAAUGCGUA